rnacentral:rRNA from 1 species
GACGAACUGCCCAGACGUUGUUCGGAAUCACUGGGCUUAAAGGGCGCGUAGGCGGCAGAUCAAGUCAGGGGUGAAAUCCGGCAGCUCAACUGUCGAAGUGCCUUUGAUACUGAUUUGCUCGAGGGAUAUAGGGGUCUGUGGAACUUCUGGUGGAGCGGUGAAAUGCGUUGAUAUCAGAAGGAACGCCGGUGGCGAAAGCGACGGACUGGAUAUCUUCUGACGCUGGAGGCGCGAAAGCUAGGGGAGCAAACGGG